rnacentral:rRNA from 1 species
AACGAACGCUGGCGGCAUGCCUAACACAUGCGAGUCGAACGAGACCUUCGGGUCUAGUGGCGCACGGGUGCGUAACGCGUGGGAACCUGCCCUUAGGUUCGGAAUAACUCCCCGAAAGGGGUGCUAAUACCGGAUAAUGUCUUCGGACCAAAGAUUUAUCGCCUUUGGAUGGGCCCGCGUUGGAUUAGCUAGUUGGUAGGGUAAAAGCCUACCAAGGCGACGAUCCAUAGCUGGUCUGAGAGGAUGAUCAGCCACACUGGGACUGAGACACGGCCCAGACUCCUACGGGAGGCAGCAGUGGGGAAUAUUGGACCAUGGGCGAAAGCCUGAUCCAGCAAUGCCGCGUGAGUUAUGAAGGCCUUAGGGUUGUAAAGCUCUUUUACCCGGGAUGAUAAUGACAGUACCGGGAGAAUAAGCUCCGGCUAACUCCGUG